ensembl:miRNA mir125c microRNA mir-125c
AGUUUGAAAUUGUGUCUCUCUUCGUCCCUGAGACCCUAACUUGUGACGUUGUUCUUUCAUGUCCACGGGUUUGGCUCUCGGGAGCUGAGAGGGAUGCACGGCCAUCU